AAGGCAUACCCGGAGAACUGAAACAUCUUAGUACCCGGAGGAAGAGAAAGAAAAUUCGAUUCCCUUAGUAGCGGCGAGCGAAACGGGAAGAGCCCAAACCAACAAGCUUGCUUGUUGGGGUUGUAGGACACUCUAUACGGAGUUACAAAGGACGACAUUAGACGAAUCAUCUGGAAAGAUGAAUCAAAGAAGGUAAUAAUCCUGUAGUCGAAAAUGUUGUCUCUCUUGAGUGGAUCCUGAGUACGACGGAGCACGUGAAAUUCCGUCGGAAUCUGGGAGGACCAUCUCCUAAGGCUAAAUACUCUCUAGUGACCGAUAGUGAACCAGUACCGUGAGGGAAAGGUGAAAAGCACCCCGGAAGGGGAGUGAAAUAGAACCUGAAACCGUGUGCUUACAAGUAGUCAGAGCCCGUUAAUGGGUGAUGGCGUGCCUUUUGUAGAAUGAACCGGCGAGUUACGAUUUGAUGCAAGGUUAAGCAGUAAAUGUGGAGCCGUAGCGAAAGCGAGUCUGA
rnacentral:rRNA from 1 species